rnacentral:rRNA from 1 species
AACGAACGCUGGCAGCAGGCUUAACACAUGCAAGUCGAACGCAUCGCAAGAUGAGUGGCAGACGGGUGAGUAACGCGUGGGAACAUACCCUUUUCUACGGAAUAGCUCUGGGAAACUGGAAUUAAUACCGUAUACGCCCUACGGGGGAAAGAUUUAUCGGGGAAGGAUUGGCCCGCGUUGGAUUAGCUAGUUGGUGGGGUAAAGGCCUACCAAGGCGACGAUCCAUAGCUGGUCUGAGAGGAUAAUCAGCCACAUUGGGACUGAGACACGGCCCAAACUCCUACGGGAGGCAGCAGGGGGGAAUAUUGGACAAUGGGCGCAAGCCUGAUCCAGCCAUGCCGCGUGAGUGAUGAAGGCCUUAGGGUUGUAAAGCUCUUUCACCGAUGAAGAUAAUGACGGUAGUCGGAGAAGAAGCCCCGGCUAACUUCGUGCCAGCAGCCGCAGUAAGAC